rnacentral:rRNA from 1 species
ACGCGAAGAACCUUACCUGGGUUUGAACUUCAGUGGCAAGGCUCAGAGAUGAGUCCCUCCCUUCGGGGAUCGCUGGAGAGGUGCUGCAUGGCUGUCGUCAGCUCGUGUCGUGAGAUGUUGGGUUAAGUCCCGCAACGAGCGCAACCCUUGUCCAUAGUUACUAACGGGUCAUGCCGAGAACUCUAUGGAGACUGCCGGUGAUAAACCGGAGGAAGGUGGGGAUGACGUCAAGUCCUCAUGGCCUUUAUGUCCAGGGCUACACACGUGCUACAAUGGACGGCACAAAGAGUCGCAAAACCGCGAGGUUGAGCUAAUCUCAAAAAACCGUUCUCAGUUCGGAUUGCAGUCUGCAACUCGACUGCAUGAAGCUGGAAUCGCUAGUAAUCGCGGAUCAGCACGCCGCGGUGAAUACGUUCCCGGGCCUUGUA